rnacentral:lncRNA from 1 species
UCUCUCUUUUCGAAAGUAUAGAAAGUUUGCAUCAAAAAUAAUACUUUUCUUCUUUGUAAAUUCAAUUAAGCAAUAUAGACUUGAUAAUACUCCUCUUCUUUUUGAACAAUAUAGAUUCAAAAACACUUCUCCCCCUUUUUGAAUAAUAUAGAUGAAACAAGUGAGUUCUUAAGUUCAGUUAGAGAAUAGCUUUGAGCUUUAAAAAAAAAGUGAGAUAGAACUUUUCAGUACUAAGAAUUUUGAGUAUCAAAAUUAAGUAUAAGAUAUAAUUAAUUUUUUAAAAACUCAUAUCUUCCUUUUCUUAAUAAAUAUCAAUUAAUUAAGUUUAGAAAAUGCAUCAAUUUCCUUAGUUUAUCUCAAAUAAUAUGAUAUCGAGAAUGUAUCAGAGCAAAAUAAACUUGAGAUAAUUUUUUUCUUUUUUUCCAAGAAAUAAAGAAAUAGAGUAUAAGACAAUAAUAAUCUGUCUUAUACCAAUUAUGAAAAUUGUGAUAUCAAUUGUGACAAUUUGUUUAAAAAUUUUCUCUUAAUAUCAAUUAUUUUGAAAUUCAAACCAAAUAAUAAUUUUUUUAUAAUUUUUUCUUGAUACUGAUUUUAAAAGAUUUAGAAAGAACAGUUUUCAAAUUUAUUGCUCGAAAAUAUUCCAAUGGAGCA